rnacentral:miRNA from 1 species
UGAGCACCACCCCUCUCUCAG